GGCGGCGUGCUUAACACAUGCAAGUUGAACGGAAAGGCCCUGCUUUUGUGGGGUGCUCGAGUGGCGAACGGGUGAGUAACACGUGAGUAACCUGCCCUUGACUUUGGGAUAACUUCAGGAAACUGGGGCUAAUACCGGAUAGGAGCUCCUGCUGCAUGGUGGGGGUUGGAAAGUUUCGGCGGUUGGGGAUGGACUCGCGGCUUAUCAGCUUGUUGGUGGGGUAGUGGCUUACCAAGGCUUUGACGGGUAGCCGGCCUGAGAGGGUGACCGGCCACAUUGGGACUGAGAUACGGCCCAGACUCCUACGGGAGGCAGCAGUGGGGAAUAUUGCACAAUGGGCGGAAGCCUGAUGCAGCAACGCCGCGUGCGGGAUGACGGCCUUCGGGUUGUAAACCGCUUUCGCCUGUGACGAAGCGUGAGUGACGGUAAUGGGUAAAGAAGCACCGGCUAACUACGUGCCAGCAGCCGCGGUGAUACGUAGGGUGCGAGCGUUGUCCGGAUUUAUUGGGCGUAAAGGGCUCGUAGGUGGUUGAUCGCGUCGGAAGUGUAAUCUUGGGGCUUAACCCUGAGCGUGCUUUCGAUACGGGUUGACUUGAGGAAGGUAGGGGAGGAUGGAAUUCCUGGUGGAGCGGUGGAAUGCGCAGAUAUCAGGAGGAGCACCAGUGGCGAAGGCGGUUCUCUGGGCCUUUCCUGACGCUGAGGAGCGAAAGCGUGGGGAGCGAACAGGCUUAGAUACCCUGGUAGUCCACGCUGUAAACGGUGGGUACUAGGUGUGGGGUCCAUUCCACGGGUUCCGUGCCGUAGCUAACGCUUUAAGUACCCCGCCUGGGGAGUACGGCCGCAAGGCUAAAACUCAAAGGAAUUGACGGGGCCCCGCACAAGCGGCGGAGCAUGCGGAUUAAUUCGAUGCAACGCGUAGAACCUUACCUGGGUUUGACAUGGAUCGGGAGUGCUCAGAGAUGGGUGUGCCUCUUUUGGGGUCGGUUCACAGGUGGUGCAUGGCUGUCGUCAGCUCGUGUCGUGAGAUGUUGGGUUAAGUCCCGCAACGAGCGCAACCCUUGUUCACUGUUGCCAGCACGUUAUGGUGGGGACUCAGUGGAGACCGCCGGGGUCAACUCGGAGGAAGGUGGGGAUGACGUCAAGUCAUCAUGCCCCUUAUGUCCAGGGCUUCACGCAUGCUACAAUGGCGGGUACAGAGAGUGGCGAGCCUGUGAGGGUGAGCGAAUCUCGGAAAGCCGGUCUCAGUUCGGAUUGGGGUCUGCAACUCGACCUCAUGAAGUCGGAGUCGCUAGUAAUCGCAGAUCAGCAACGCUGCGGUGAAUACGUUCCCGGGGCUUGUACACACCGCCCGUCAAGUCAUGAAAGUUGGUAACACCCGAAGCCGGUGGCCUAACCGUUGUGGGGGAGCCGUCGAAGGUGGGACUGGUGAUUAGGACUAAGUA
rnacentral:rRNA from 1 species